GUGGGGAAUAUUGGACAAUGGGCGAAAGCCUGAUCCAGCCAUGUCGCGUGUGUGAAGAAGGUCUUCGGAUUGUAAAGCACUUUAAGUUGGGAGGAAGGGCAGUAAGUUAAUACCUUGCUGUUUUGACGUUACCAACAGAAUAAGCACCGGCUAACUUCGUGCCAGCAGCCGCGGUAAUACGAAGGGUGCAAGCGUUAAUCGGAAUUACUGGGCGUAAAGCGCGCGUAGGUGGUUCAGCAAGUUGAAGGUGAAAUCCCCGGGCUCAACCUGGGAACUGCCUCCAAAACUACUGAGCUAGAGUACGGUAGAGGGUAGUGGAAUUUCCUGUGUAGCGGUGAAAUGCGUAGAUAUAGGAAGGAACACCAGUGGCGAAGGCGACUACCUGGACUGAUACUGACACUGAGGUGCGAAAGCGUGGGGAGCAAACAGGAUUAGAAACCCCUGUAGUCC
rnacentral:rRNA from 1 species